rnacentral:rRNA from 1 species
AUGGAGGAAUUUCAAAAGAAGGUUGAAAGUGCUACGUAUCAGGCUAUCAGCAGUCAUGGAAAGGAUGCCAUAAGGCCACAAGAUUCGUCAUUCAUCUGCUCUUUAAACAGAAAAUAUGAUGGCGAAGUUUAUGUUAGAGAUGCAAGGUUCAUCCCGUCCUUGGUGCUUGGUUCUUGGGAGUUUGAUUCCAAGCUUUUGAUUACUGAUAGCCUAUACUUGAAUCUAGAUGGGUCUCCAGAGAUCAAAGAUGAAGCGACAAGCCUUAAUAACGUGGGGACUGGGACCUGCAAUAGGCAGGUAGUUUGGACAGUCCGAAGCCCCAUCGGAUGCUGCUACCAUGAUGUCAUACUCGAGGGGGUUACUGAUACUUGUGAGGUCCCACAGCUUAUACCCCUGCACCGCCACAUUGAUAUUGGUGACGGAAUUAACCUCAAUGAUGUGGAGUCCAAUUGGGGAGUCGCAGCUAUUGGUCAAUUGAUAUUCUGGGCUCAUUCCUUGCGCGUGCAUGGAAAUUCUUCCAUCCUUGCUGUUAGCCCCAAAACCAGAUUCAACGGUCUUUGGAGGUGGAGACUCUUGGUUUCGUUUGACAUGGUGCCGUAUCGACAAGAAGAAUCUGUCUUUGGGGAACUGCGGAGUAUACACUUGCACAACUGCCCAAGGCUCAAGUUUGUCCUCCCAAUCUCAUCAUUCAUCUUACCCAGCCUGGAGACCAUCCAAAUAGUCCACUGCUGUAAUCUCAGGCAGAUCUUCCCGUGGGAUGUGAAUUGUGAAGCUGGAAAAGAAGACACGGUGAAGAAUUUUCCAAAGCUAAAGCACAUAUACCUGCACCAACUCGACUGCCUGGAGAAAAUAUGUGUGGCCAAGAUGUUUGCUCCCAAGCUUGAGACGAUCAGGAUAAGGGGUUCUUGGGGCCUUAGACGCCUCCCGGCCGUCAGCCUUCGCCAUGGAGCCGGCCUUCCCGUUGUGGACUGUGAGAAGGACCUGUGGGACAGGCUAGAGUGGGACGGUCUGGAGGCCGGGCACCACCCAUCACUCUUUGAGACACAUCACUCGUUGUAUUACAAGAAAGCCCUACCCAGAGUCUUGGUCCUCCGUUGA